rnacentral:rRNA from 1 species
UACGGAGGAUCCAAGCGUUAUCCGGAUUCAUUGGGUUUAAAGGGUGCGUAGGCGGACUGAUAAGUCAGUGGUGAAAUCCUGCAGCUUAACUGCAGAACUGCCAUUGAUACUGUCAAUCUUGAGUAUAUUUGAUGUGGGCGGAAUGUGUCAUGUAGCGGUGAAAUGCUUAGAUAUGACACAGAACACCGAUUGCGAAGGCAGCUCACAAAACUAUAACUGACGCUGAGGCACGAAAGCGUGGGUAUCAAACAGG